rnacentral:lncRNA from 1 species
GUAGACUAGAGCGGGUCUCACUUAGUAGAGCGGGUAGACCUCGGAGCUCCUACCUCCCGCAGCGUCGCGGUCCCUAGUGAGCCGCAGCCGGCCAGUGCCAUGAUCCGACAAGACCUCUCCACAUCCUACCAGGAGCUCAGUGAAGAGUUGGAGCAGGUGGUUGAGAACUCGGAGCAGGCAGAUGAACGGGACAAGGAGCUGGUCCAAGUUCAAGGUCCAGGUGUUGUGCCAGGGAUUGCCUUAUACCCCGGUCAGGCUCAGCUGCUCAGCUGUAAGCACCACUAUGAGGUCAUCCCACCUCUUGCCAGCCCUGGCCAGCCCGGAGACA